CAAUAGCGUAUAUUAAAGUUGUUGCAGUUAAAAAGCUCGUAGUUGGAUUUCUGGUGGGAGCGAUCGGUCUGGCGCUUAGCGCGAGUACUUGCAUCGUCUCCGGUCAUCCUUGGGGAGAGUCUGUCUGGCAUUAAGUUGUCGGGCAGAGGAUCCUCAUCGUUUACUGUGAAAAAAUUAGAGUGUUCAAAGCAGGCUUAUGCCGUUGAAUAUAUUAGCAUGGAAUAAUAAGAUAGGACUUUGGUACUAUUUUGUUGGUUUGCGCACCAAAGUAAUGAUUAAUAGGGACAGUUGGGGGUAUUCGUAUUCCGUUGUCAGAGGUGAAAUUCUUGGAUUUACGGAAGACGAACUACUGCGAAAGCAUUUACCAAGGAUGUUUUCAUUAA
rnacentral:rRNA from 1 species